rfam:Erwinia billingiae strain Eb661 complete chromosome.
CCCCGCAGGUGAACUGCGGGGACAUCUUCUGACUGCAACAAGGGGUCUGCCCGUG